rnacentral:rRNA from 1 species
UGAAUACAUAGGGUUUUAAGAGCAAACCCGGGGAACUGAAACAUCUAAGUACCCGGAGGAAAGGACAUCAAUAGAGACUCCCCUAGUAGCGGCGAGCGAACGGGGACCAGCCGAACUCUGAGAGUGACUGGAAUGGUCUGGAAAGGCCAACCAUAGCGGGUGACAGUCCCGUACAGGAAGCUCGAUGAGACGUAUCAAGUAGGGCGGGACACGUGAAAUCCUGUCUGAAGAUCGGAGGACCACCUCCGAAGGCUAAGUACUCCUUACUGACCGAUAGCGAACCAGUACCGUGAGGGAAAGGUGAAAAGCACCCCGACGAGGGGAGUGAAACAGUACCUGAAACCGAACGCCUACAAUCAGUCGGAGCUCCUUUACGGAGUGACGGCGUACCUUUUGUAUAAUGGGUCAUCGACUUGGUCUAUCUAGCAAGCUUAAGCCGUUAGGUGUAGGCGCAGCGAAAGCGAGUCUUAAUAGGGCGUUGAGUUAGAUGGAUCAGACCCGAAACCGAGUGAUCUAGGCAUGACCAGGAUGAAGGUAAGGUAACACUUGCUGGAGGUCCGAACCCACACCUGUUGAAAAAGGUCGGGAUGAGUUGUGCCUAGGGGUGAAAGGCCAAUCAAACUCGGAGAUAGCUGGUUCUCCGCGAAAUCUAUUUAGGUAGAGCGUCAUCCGAAUACCCCGGGGGGUAGAGCACUGGAUGGGUAAUGGGGCCCCACAGGCUUACUGAUCCUAACCAAACUCCGAAUACCCGGGAGUACUAGAUGGCAGACACACGGCGGAUGCUAACGUCCGUCGUGGAGAGGGAAACAACCCUGACCUACAGCUAAGGCCCCCAAUUCGUGGCUAAGUGGGAAAGCAGGUGGGACGACCAAAACAACCAGGAGGUUGGCUUAGAAGCAGCCAUCCUUUAAAGAUAGCGUAACAGCUCACUGGUCUAAUCAAGUUGUCCUGCGGCGAAGAUGUAACGGGGCUCAAGCCACGAGCCGAAGCUUAGGAUGCCGUAAGGCAUGGUAGCGGAGCGUAGUGUGACAUAGAACUCGCCCUCUUCUGCAUCCUCCGGGAUGUAAUGGAGGGCAGGGUUCUUUCUGUGAAGCCCGGGCGUGAGCCAUCGGGUGGAGAGAUCACUAGCGAGAAUGAUGACAUGAGUAGCGACAAAGAGUGUGAGAGACACUCUCGCCGAAAGUCCAAGGGUUCCUGCUUAAAGCUAAUCUGAGCAGGGUAAGCCGGCCCCUAAGGCGAGGCCGAAAGGCGUAGUCGAUGGGAACCAGGUUAAUAUUCCUGGGCCAUGUGGUGGUGACGGAUCGCAGAUGUAGUUCUUCCUUAUCGGAUUGGGAGGGCUGCUGAGCGGUCCCUGGAAAUAGCCCCACUUUAGGACCGUACCCUAAACCGACACAGGUGGACUGGUAGAGCAUACCAAGGCGCUUGAGAGAACGAUGUUGAAGGAACUCGGCAAAAUACCUCCGUAAGUUCGCGAGAAGGAGGCCCGGUUCCUAGGCAACUAGGGGCUGGGGGCACAAACCAGGGGGUGGCGACUGUUUACUAAAAACACAGGGCUCUGCGAAGUCGCAAGACGACGUAUAGGGUCUGACGCCUGCCCGGUGCCUGAAGGUUAAAAGGAGGGGUGAGAGCUCCGAAUUGAAGCCCAGGUAAACGGCGGCCGUAACUAUAACGGUCCU